CUGCAAUCUGGAAUUAAUAAGAGUUGAUUCAGUAUAAUAAUUUAAAUAGCUUCUUUUGAAACAACUCUGAGAGUUGGCUCGUGUGUCGGUCCGAGAGAUUUAAUUUAAAUCAUUUGCCGUGUGUAGUCUGUAGUGUACAGAGAACAGAAUUAUUCUCUGGAAUGUAUAUUUGUUCUUCUUCCUUCUCUACUACGUCUCGUUGGUACGUAUAUUCUAGAAACCGUAUUUAAGCCCACGGUGGGCAGAAGUAUGGAAGUAAAGAGGACGAAGGGUAUACAGUAGAACGUGCUCAACUUGGAAAAGCAAUUACCAAGUCCCGCGGACCUAGCCAAGUCUGAAGGCAAACAGAAGUUUAACGAGUCAUGGACGAGCGGCGACAGCCUCUCGAGAACCUCGCCAUCAGAGUUUCAUUUUUCCCGGGGUUCCCUGUACAUGUGUAUAGAGAGCCAAGUACGUGAUAACUGAUUGAUAAAUAAUAAAAGAAUACUCACAGAGUUGUGCGGUUCAAUUGGUCGCUUGACAAUUUCAGAGGGUGGU